UACGAAGGGGGCUAGCGUUGCUCGGAUUUACUGGGCGUAAAGGGCGCGUAGGCGGAUGACCAAGUUGGGGGUGAAAUCCCGGGGCUCAACCUCGGAACUGCCUCCAAAACUGGUCGUCUUGAGUAUGGGAGAGGUGUGUGGAACUCCGGAGUGUAGAGGUGAAAUUCGUAGAUAUUCGGAAGAACACCAGUGGCGAAGGCGACACACUGGCCCAUUACUGACGCUGAGGCGCGAAAGCGUGGGGAGCAAACAGG
rnacentral:rRNA from 1 species